rfam:Erinaceus europaeus unplaced genomic scaffold scaffold00462, whole genome shotgun sequence
UGGUCUUGCUUCAGUAACCGAUAUAAUAAAAUUGUAUCAUACAGAAAAAGUUAGCAUGGCCCCUGUAUAAAAAAUGGCAUGCACAUUUGAAACUUGUUUCAUACUUAC